rnacentral:rRNA from 1 species
GAUGAACGCUGGCGGCGUGCCUAAUACAUGCAAGUCGAGCGAACGGACGAGAAGCUUGCUUCUCUGAUGUUAGCGGCGGACGGGUGAGUAACACGUGGAUAACCUACCUAUAAGACUGGGAUAACUUCGGGAAACCGGAGCUAAUACCGGAUAAUAUUUUGAACCGCAUGGUUCAAAAGUGAAAGACGGUCUUGCUGUCACUUAUAGAUGGAUCCGCGCUGCAUUAGCUAGUUGGUAAGGUAACGGCUUACCAAGGCAACGAUGCAUAGCCGACCUGAGAGGGUGAUCGGCCACACUGGAACUGAGACACGGUCCAGACUCCUACGGGAGGCAGCAGUAGGGAAUCUUCCGCAAUGGGCGAAAGCCUGACGGAGCAACGCCGCGUGAGUGAUGAAGGUCUUCGGAUCGUAAAACUCUGUUAUUAGGGAAGAACAUAUGUGUAAGUAACUGUGCACAUCUUGACGGUACCUAAUCAGAAAGCCACGGCUAACUACGUGCCAGCAGCCGCGGUAAUACGUAGGUGGCAAGCGUUAUCCGGAAUUAUUGGGCGUAAAGCGCGCGUAGGCGGUUUUUUAAGUCUGAUGUGAAAGCCCACGGCUCAUCCGUGGAGGGUCAUUGGAAACUGGAAAACUUGAGUGCAGAAGAGGAAGGUGGAAUUCCAUGUGUAGCGGUGAAAUGCGCAGAGAUAUGGAGGAACACCAGUGGCGAAGGCGACUUUCUGGUCUGUAACUGACGCUGAUGUGCGAAAGCGUGGGGAUCAAACAGGAUUAGAUACCCUGGUAGUCCACGCCGUAAACGAUGAGUGCUAAGUGUUAGGGGGUUUCCGCCCCUUAGUGCUGCAGCUAACGCAUUAAGCACUCCGCCUGGGGAGUACGACCGCAAGGUUGAAACUCAAAGGAAUUGACGGGGACCCGCACAAGCGGUGGAGCAUGUGGUUUAAUUCGAAGCAACGCGAAGAACCUUACCAAAUCUUGACAUCCUUUGACAACUCUAGAGAUAGAGCUUUCCCCUUCGGGGGACAAAGUGACAGGUGGUGCAUGGUUGUCGUCAGCUCGUGUCGUGAGAUGUUGGGUUAAGUCCCGCAACGAGCGCAACCCUUAAGCUUAGUUGCCAUCAUUAAGUUGGGCACUCUAAGUUGACUGCCGGUGACAAACCGGAGGAAGGUGGGGAUGACGUCAAGUCAUCAUGCCCCUUAUGAUUUGGGCUACACACGUGCUACAAUGGACAAUACAAAGGGCAGCGAAACCGCGAGGUCAAGCAAAUCCCAUAAAGUUGUUCUCAGUUCGGAUUGUAGUCUGCAACUCGACUACAUGAAGCUGGAAUCGCUAGUAAUCGUAGAUCAGCAUGCUACGGUGAAUACGUUCCCGGGUCU